CGUUAAUUAGGGUUGUUUUUUGUUUUUGGAGGUAGUUUUGUGUCCUCAUUGUAAGUAAUCCAGCCUGUUUUGGAGCUGUCCCUCAAUUGCCACUCGGACCUACCUCAAACACUAACCCAGCACUAACCGGGUGCCAAUUUAGAGCUAAUUAAGCAUUAAUUGAGUUCUGAGUAGCCUCAAUUAAGCCCUAAUUAGUCCCUAAUGAGGCGGUAGCACCCGGGGCAUCGUCGCCAUGGCGCUGCGGCGCCUCUGCACCAGGGCCCCCCAGGACCACUACGAGGUUUUGGGGUCCCCCCCGACGCCACCCCCAACAGAUCCGUGCGGCGUUCCUGCAGCGCUGCAAGGAGGU
rnacentral:lncRNA from 1 species